rnacentral:rRNA from 1 species
CCCUUAGAUGUUCUGGGCUGCACGCGUGCUACACUGAUAUUGCCAAUAUGUCAUUCUUAUCCGAAAUGGAUUGGGUAAUCAAGUAAUGAAAUUUCAUGCUUGGAAUCGGUAAUUGCAAUUUUACCGUGAACGAGGAAUUCCUAGUAAGCACUAGUCAUCAGCUAAUGUUGAUUAUGUCCCUGCCCUUUGUACACACCGCCCGUCGCUACUACUGAUUGGGUGUUCAAGUGAGAUGCUUAGACCCUUGUUGCAUGGUUCAUUAUUGUGCUCCGAAAGGAAAAAGUUUCAAGCUUGAGUGUCUAGAGGAAGUAAAAGUCGUAACA